rnacentral:rRNA from 1 species
AACGAACGCUGGCGGCAUGCCUAACACAUGCAAGUCGAACGAGACCUUCGUGUCUAGUGGCGCACGGGUGCGUAACGCGUGGGAACCUGCCCUUGGGUUCGGAAUACCUCCCCGAAGGGUGUCUUAAUACCGGUUAAUGUCUUCGGGCCAAGGAUUUAUUGCGUUUGGAUGGGCCCGCGUUGGUUUAGCUGGUUGGUAGGGUAAAAGCCUACCAAGGCGACGUUCCAUAGCUGGUCUGAGAGGAUGAUCAGCAACACUGGGACUGAGACACGGCCCAGACUCCGACGGGAGGCAGCAGUGGGGAAUAUUGGACGAGGGGCGAAAGCCUGAUCAAGCAAUGCCGCGUGAGUGAUGAAGGCCUUAGGGUUGUAAAGCUCUUUUACCCGGGAUGAUAAUGACAGUACCGGGAGAAUAAGCACCGGCUAACUCCGUG